GUGGGCCUCGAACUCUGCUUCUAGCCGGCGAAUAACUGGAAUUAACGGAGCAGGUUUAGUGUGCACGUGAGAUACUCUGGACCUUUCCACCCGCCCCACCCGACGGCGGGGACAGUCACACAGUCACGUGCCGGGUGGGUCCCGGGGCGUCGCACUUCGCUGGAGCUGGUCCCUGAGCCGCUGGCAGUGAAGUGAUGGGGAAAGCGUGGGACCGGAAGGAGGGACGCGGGGCUCCAGGACUUCAGCACUUUCACGCUAAUACUGGAUGCACACGAAAUCACAUGUUGAGCAAAUAUGUGGGUGGAUCGGUCAGUAUCAGAUGAUAACUGGGCUUAAGGAAAAUAACUUUCAAGUCAUACUUGCUUAAAAGAGAUCUACUUAGUCAAAAGGCUACAUUGCUUAAACAGUGAGAAAAAUCCAUGAAUAGAUGGAUUUCAUAAUGACCAAAACAAAGAAGAAGAAAAGAAAAGAAGGACUCAUGAGUCACCCACGGAGGAUGCCAGGGAACUGUGACAUAAUAAGAAAUACGUAUUUGGUGCCUACACUGGCUUCCUGGCACAGAGCUCCUGAAACACUUGGAAUUUGAGUGAUCAGGAAUGAACGAGAGUUUAGAAGACCAAAUAUUGCAAACCAACCAGUGAAGCCCUUUGGUGCGGUUUUGACUCCAAAGCAGCAAGACCGUCUCCUGGUCUCCCAGGGCCAUACGCCCCGGGGUCACUCUUCAAAUUAAGGUGAAAUCCAAGGUGUGAGGUCCUUCGACAGCAUCCCUGGUAGGUAACCAUCCACUCUCUAUAAACACCUCCAAUGGCAGGAAAUCUCAGCCACAUUUUAUGCAGCUUCACGGCUGUCUCACCAGGAACCAGCCUGCCCCAUUUCCCGGGACAGCACUUCGAGUCUUAGAGACAGUGUUCUCAUCCCCACCCCGAGUCCGUGAUUCCUGCCUGGAGUCUAGGGAAAGUGAGGGGACAGCCAUCCUAUUGGACAAUAUCAGCUCCUUGGAGCAGCCAAGACUAGCAGUUGGGGGCUUUUCCUUAGAUGCCGUGAUGCUCUGUUGAGGUUAAAAAUUUAUUUCAGUGGUUAGAAAGCAAGAACAUAUGCUAAAAUCUUUAAAAAUGGUUUUAUUUCAUUUUUAUUUUUUUAAAGAUUUUUUGGUUUUGACGUGGACCAUUUUUUAAGUCUUUAUUGAAUUUGUUCCAAUAUUGCUUCUGUUUUAUGUUUUGGUUUUUUGGCCACAAGGCAUGUGGGAGCUUAGCUCCCCCAGUGCAGGGGGUAUGGGAUCGAACCCACAGCCCCUGCGUUGGAAGGCGAAGUCUUAACCACUGGACCACCAGGGAAGUCCCUAAAAGUGGUUUUACAACCACUCUCUUGGGCUUCCCUGGUGGCGUGGUGGUUGAGAGUCCGCCUGCCGAUGCAGGGGACACGGGUUCGUGCCCCGGUCCGGGAAGAUCCCACAUGCCGCGGAGCGGCUGGGCCCGUGAGCCGUGGCCGCUGAGCCUGCGCGUCCGGAGCCUGUGCCCCGCAACGGGAGAGGCCACAACAGUGAG